UACGAAGGGGGCUAGCGUUGUUCGGAAUUACUGGGCGUAAAGCGCACGUAGGCGGACUUGUUAGUCAGGGGUGAAAUCCCGGGGCUCAACCUCGGAAUUGCCUUUGAUACUGCAAGUCUCGAGUCCGGAAGAGGUGAGUGGAAUUCCUAGUGUAGAGGUGAAAUUCGUAGAUAUUAGGAAGAACACCAGUGGCGAAGGCGGCUCACUGGUCCGGUACUGACGCUGAGGUGCGAAAGCGUGGGGAGCAAACAGG
rnacentral:rRNA from 1 species